UCACAAACGAGCUAUUAGUUGGGAAAAUCCACAAUGGCUGCACAAUAACACGUUAAAUGUAUAAAAGUAUGCCUCAUUAAAGCUUCAACACAAGUGGUUCGUUCAGAGGAAGACUAAGAAUGAGUCGAGUGGCACUGAUUUUAUUGGCGGUGAUUGUGGUGUCUGCAGCUGAUGAAGCACUGCUGAAUUUCGGCAAAGGAAACAUCGAUUUCACAGCCAAAUCUUACCAG